UACAGAGGGUGCGAGCGUUGUCCGGAAUCACUGGGCGUAAAGGGCGCGUAGGCGGCUCGGUAAGCGUGCGGUGAAAGCCCGGGGCUCAACCCCGGGUCGGCCGUGGCGAACUGCGGAGCUGGAGCACUGUAGAGGCAGGUGGAAUUCCGGGUGUAGCGGUGGAAUGCGUAGAGAUCCGGAAGAACACCGGUGGCGAAGGCGGCCUGCUGGGCUAUGGCUGACACUGAGGCGCGACAGCGUGGGGAGCAAACAGG
rnacentral:rRNA from 1 species